ensembl:lncRNA
UGGCCCUUGUGGGUGAAGGCACCCUGGACAGGUCGCCAGUCUUUCGCAGGGCCACAAAUCACACACCCAUUCAUUCUCACACUCACACCUACGGACAAUUUAGAGUUGCCAAUUAACCUAUGAAGCAUGUUUUUGGAGUGUGGGAGGAAGCUGGAGACUCCGGAGAGAAUCCACGCAUUAUCUGUAACUGAUCCCAGAUCUGCCAAAUAACAAGUGUUUUGCUAACCUUGCAAGUGAACCCUGGCACAGUUCAGUGGCAGAGUGAAUGGACUUUGAGCAUCCAGCAGACCAGCGAGUGGAACUGACCCAAAGGUUAUUGAUGAACUGGUGUUUCUGGUUUCUUUGCCAUGCUGACCGAGGCUCAACCCACACCCAAGAGAAGAACAUAAUUGGUGGUUGAUGUAAAAAGACCCAACCGAGCACAGGUCUGGCUGGGAUGCAAGGAGUGCGCUCUUAUCAGGUGAGCGGCACAUAAUGGGCUCCUUGUGCAGCACGUAGGUCUUAGUGGGGUUAAAAUAAAAUAAAAUCAUAAGUAUAAGUGUUCGCCAUGACCUGUCACUCACAACAUUCCCGUAAUGAAAACAUUCAUGAACAUUUUCUUUCAAUGGGUUCAAUGAGCACUUUUGUCGUCAUUAACAGCUGAAAGAGAUGACCAGUUUGGGGAGAAUAGCUAUAUGUCGCCCAAACCCCAGCUGAGAACAAAGGACGCCUAAUGACCCGAAACCAUGUAGUUUAAGUAGACAACUCUAUCCGGUUUCAGGUCUGACUCUUCCCCCAUGAGCACAUAUUAACCAGCUCUUUUACCAGCUACUGUAUUUCAGAAUUGGCAAAGCCUUUUGAAUAAGAAACAUCUUCAACUUUAAAAACCAAGUCCAGAUGACAACCUUUAAACCUACUGCUAUUAUACUGGUAAUGUUAGGUUGUGGUUUUGAGAGGCUGUAAGGUAGCAGGAGAAACAGAUGGUUGAUGGGAAGGAGGUGGGUUCACUCCGUGUGAACAGUCCCGUUCAUACCUCAGGGGUGAAUUUCUAAAGAACUACUGCCGCUCUACAGAAAUCAUGUGAUAGAAAAUGACACAGGUUUUUUGGUUUGGGCUAAAAUUUGCAUAAUUUUAAUAAAAAGACGAGUGGGAAGACUUUUACAAUAAAUCAAAAGAUGAUUGGGACUUACAAAAGUAUGGCCUUUAAAUGUACUUUGUAUUUUCCCUAAGCAUGCAAAAUUAACAUUUAUAUUGGGAGUUUCUGACUACAAAAAAGAUGGGAGCAGAGAAAGACUAGCAAAGGUGCUACCUUUUGUUUUAGAGAAUUCCCUUUAUAUUUCUCUGUGGACACUGCAUAAACAACAACAUUAGCAAACCUUAGGUUUCUGAUCACACUUGCUGGACGCAUUUUUCUCCUCUUUUUGUUGGUUAGAUGCAAAUUCACUUUCAUUUUAUAGGUGCAGUGUGAAACCCCUCUGCUGAGCCUAAAACCACUCAUACCUCAGUGACAAGUGGUUGGAAAUCAAGUUAAUUAUAUUCCACAGCACUACACAUGCAGUCUGUAAGCUGUAUUCACCUACUAUUAUCUGUCUUAACCUUCAUGACUUUGAAACACCCUCUCCAAAUUAAAGGUCGGAAAUGUGUCAAAACCUGACAUUACGAGUCCUGGUGUUUUUAUUUUUAUUUAGUGCGAGUGUGUCUCGCCUCUGUCAGCCUGAACUUGUUUGACUCCCCCCUCUCCAUCUCGGAGAUUAGC